rnacentral:rRNA from 1 species
AAUGAACGCUGGCGGCAUGCCUAACACAUGCAAGUCGAACGAAGCCUUCGGGCUUAGUGGCGCACGGGUGCGUAACGCGUGGGAAUCUGCCCUUGGGUUCGGAAUAACAGUUAGAAAUGACUGCUAAUACCGAAUGAUGUCGUAAGACCAAAGAUUUAUCGCCCAGGGAUGAGCCCGCGUAGGAUUAGCUAGUUGGUGUGGUAAAGGCGCACCAAGGCGACGAUCCUUAGCNGGUCUGAGAGGAUGAUCAGCCACACUGGGACUGAGACACGGCCCAGACUCCUACGGGAGGCAGCAGUGGGGAAUAUUGGACAAUGGGCGAAAGCCUGAUCCAGCAAUGCCGCGUGAGUGAUGAAGGCCUUAGGGUUGUAAAGCUCUUUUACCCGGGAUGAUAAUGACAGUACCGGGAGAAUAAGCUCCGGCUAACUCCGUGCCAGCAGCCG